UACGGAGGAUCCAAGCGUUAUCCGGAUUUAUUGGGUUUAAAGGGUGCGUAGGCGGCCUAUUAAGUCAGGGGUGAAAGACGGUGGCUCAACCAUCGCAGUGCCUUUGAUACUGAUAGGCUUGAAUACACUAGAGGUAGGCGGAAUGUGACAAGUAGCGGUGAAAUGCAUAGAUAUGUCACAGAACACCGAUUGCGAAGGCAGCUUACUAUGGUGUCAUUGACGCUGAGGCACGAAAGCGUGGGGAGUCAAACAGGA
rnacentral:rRNA from 1 species